AAACCAACAGGGAUUGCCUUAGUAGCGGCGAGUGAAGCGGCAAAAGCUCAAAUUUGAAAUCUGGCACUUUCAGUGUCCGAGUUGUAAUUUGAAGAAGGUAUCUUUGGGUCUGGCUCUUGUCUAUGUUUCUUGGAACAGAACGUCACAGAGGGUGAGAAUCCCGUGCGAUGAGAUGUCCCAGACCUAUGUAAAGUUCCUUCGAAGAGUCGAGUUGUUUGGGAAUGCAGCUCUAAGUGGGUGGUAAAUUUCCAUCUAAAGCUAAAUAUUGGCGAGAGACCGAUAGCGAACAAGUACAGUGAUGGAAAGAUGAAAAGAACUUUGAAAAGAGAGUGAAAAAGUACGUGAAAUUGUUGAAAGGGAAGGGCUUGAGAUCAGACUUGGUAUUUUGUAUGUUACUCUCUCGGGGGUGGCCUCUACAGUUUACCGGGCCAGCAUCAGUUUGGGCGGUAGGACAAUUGCAAAGAAAUGUGGCACUGCCUCGGUAGUGUGUUAUAGUCUUUGUCGAUACUGCCAGCCUAGACUGAGGACUGCGGCUUCGGCCUAGGAUGUUGGCAUAAUGAUCUUAAGUC
rnacentral:rRNA from 1 species